rnacentral:rRNA from 1 species
AGAAUCAACGCUGGCGGCGUGCCUAACACAUGCAAGUCGAACGAGAAAGUGGAGCAAUCCAUGAGUAAAGUGGCGACCGGGUGAGUAACACGUGACUAACCUACCUUCGAGUGGGGGAUAACCUCGGGAAACCGGGGCUAAUACCGCAUAAAAUCUUUGGAUCGGAAGAACUGGAGAUCAAUGGAGCAAUUCGCUUGAAGAGGGGGUCGCGGCUGAUUAGCUAGUUGGCGGGUAAUGGCCCACAAGGCUUUGAUCGGUA